ACAAUGCCGACCUUUUCGUUCUUUUUAACCUGCGACAUUUUUGUUUAGCGUGUGUCUGACUUUUUCUAUUAUUUUUUUGUUUGUUUUUGUUUUGUGCUGCAGAGCAUUCAGUCAAUCACAGACCAACCUAGACGACAGUGCAGAGGCGUUUGAACAAUUGUAGAACAGCGCAACCGGUUUAAUAUUAAGGCGAUAAGGCGGCUGACAAGCGACAGAGGUGAACCCGAAACCUCCAAGUGCUCUCUGAGGUGUUGGUAGCCGUGUUUGGUGAUUUUUUAAAGAGAUAAUAAGAGCCCCCCUCCAGCUACAGCUCAACUAUUAUGCGAUACCCACUCGUGUGUGCAGUUUAUCGCCGUACAUUUGCCGGGGGGUUACGGUACGGGUACUCGUACUCCGAUUUCCAAAUGGGGGGCUGUUGUGUUUGUGUCUAUCAAAGAUGCCCUUAAUUUGACAUUUAUUAUUAAUUCCAACACGGCAAGCGGAGUGGAGAGUGGUGACCGUAUACUAUACGGCGCAUAGUGAUGACUCGUAUAAUUGCUAACCAAAAACAAAUGCAGCAGCAGUAGGUGCAUAGCUCUAAGUGGAAAUGCUUCAAUGUUGUCUCUUAGAAAUAAAUAAAUAAAUCAUAUUGUGGAAUACAUAAAA